ACGUCAGUAUAUGAACGAUUGGUUCAUAUCCAGAAGGUUCCAAUGACGUGGCGUGCACGCGCGCCCAUUGGUCCGUUCAAACGUUAUCGCUCGUGCUUUCAGGUUUGGAGUGGGCGACGAGAGUUGCCAUGUUGAUGAAAAUGCCGCAAUGUUUACAAUGUUGCCAGAUUGUGCUCUUUGUGGUCACGUCUAACCACGGAAAAUGCAUUUGGGUUGGUUUUUGAUGCAUCUGGCAGGUUUUUAUUUUAGACUAUAAAACGAUAUUUUUUUAAUCUUUUUUUUUUUUUUUCAUUUAAACGAACUUUACAGUAAAAUUUAAUAUUUAAUGUUGACAUUUUAAUUAUAUGGCUCAGUUUAGCCAAUAAGGUGAGUCCUGUCCAAUCAGACUUCAAUCUUGAUUGUGGUAAUCGUACUCGUUAAGUAAAUAUCAAAUAUCAAGCAAACCAUAUAGCUGUAAGUGUUAUCAUCAUCAUCAUCAUCAUCAUGCCAUGGUGUUUUUAUCAUCAUCAUCAUCAUCAUCAUCAUCAUCAUCAUCAUCGUGCCAAUGUGGGGUAAAUAUAGAAAGCCUGUUAUUAGCAAAGCUGUAAAUGUUUUUAUCAACAUCAUCAUCAUCAUCAUCAUCAUCAUCAUCAUCAUGUGGGGUAAAUAUAGAAAGUCCUACCGAAAAGAAUAGAAGAGCGACCUGAUUUAUAAUAAUUCAAGAGACUGUGAAGAUUGUGAAGAUUCUCUGUAUUAAGUUCCUAUAAAAAAGUAAGCGUGUUUAAUUAAAUAUUAAUUAAAUAAGGUAGCUAACGUAGUGUGUGUGUGUGUGUAAAUAGUGCCCUUUGCACUAACCCAUUUGUUUUGGGGUUUUUGUUUGUUAUUGUAUUAUUUAUCACAGUAUGCAUUUUGGGAUGGUAUUUAUUUAUUUAUUUAUUAUUUAUUUAAAUAUGCGGGGUUUAAGUUGUAGUUGGGCUGAAAAUCUUCAGUCCAAUCUGGCAACCCUGCUGCAGAACAACGCUAUGAUUAUAAGAAACAUUACAGAAUCACACACUAUCAAAAAUAAUAAUAGUACUAAGCUGUAACUUUCCUUGGUUCUGAGGUCAUAACCUUAGGAGUGAAUCUUGUUGGGGCUGUGAUGGCACGUGGUUAAGAUCUUAAGACACUGUUCAUAUAAUAAUGCAUGCAUACCAGCUAACAACCUGGAAUGGGUGACGAACACUGGACACUGACACUCUAUAGCCACACUUAUGCUGUAACAUUAGAAAUAACAGCCUCCAUCCCCACGAGGAAGACUUUCUACUAGAGUCGGCAUUCCAUUUCAUCCCGAAUCAGUGAGGUUGAAGUUAGGGCUCAGGCCACUCAAUCACAUCUCCUGGAAAACCAUGUCUGUGUGAAAACUUACCCAUCUCUCUUUCAUUCAUUUACAGUUGCUUUUUUGCCUAUAGGCAUGCCAUGGACAUAGACAUGGCUAGAUCCAUCUGUCCAUUAACAGCUAUGGAAGGCGUGAGAGACAUUGUUUAUGAUCUGCAACAGUACAGCCAUAAUCUUCAUCUGACCUUCUACUUCCAGCGUCAUCGGUCAUACACCCUGGACGGAGUGCCAACCCAUCACAGGGCACACACACGCACUCAUUCACUCACGGAAUCACACACUACGGACAAUUUAGAGACUCCAAUCAGCCUAGAAGCAUGUCUUCGGACUGUGGGAGGAAACCGGAGCACCCGGAGGACGCUGAAGGACAAGAAGACAAUAACCCAGCCCCUGACACUAUCCCAAUCCCACCACCCUUCCUACUGACACCAGCAGAGCCCUGUACAGCUGUGUUCUACCUCCAGCUCAACAUUCCACCUACGCUUAACUCCCCACCACACUGCAGCUGUGGCCCAGCCAUCUUCAGCAACCUCUCCACCACCUGGAGUUCGUCUUAUACGCACACACUUUAUACUCCCACCAAACAGGUGUGCUUUGAAAGUACACAUCUGUUUGUCGGAAGAGAUGGCAAGCCAUUUCACGAAGCUUCCGAAGCGCGGUGCUGAUGAUCUGCUCUGAACCGGGGCAGUUUGGAACUGAGUGAUGACGAUGCGUAGUCUAUGAUAAAAGUGCUUACAGUUGACCAGGGCAGAAAACCGACUUGUUAUAAAGGCGGUAUCUGAGGACAGUGUUUAAAGUCACUGAGGCUUUCAGUACGACCCAUUUUUACUGCCGAUGGUUGUCUUUGGAGAUUGCACGGCUAUGGGCUUGGGUUUAUGCACCUGUUAGAAAUAAAUGUUGCAGAAGAACCCGAACAAAAUAAUUAGGACAGGUAUCUACCGAUGCUGAUUGGGAGAACUGGGAGCAUCCGCCGAUUCUAGGGCAAUAAAUUCGUUAGCAUUAUAACUUAGAAGUACUUGUUGCAGAGUAGGUCAGCUGUGAUCACACACACACACCCACCCACCCACACGCACACACACACACACAGCCUAUCGAUCAUGCCCCUACCUCUGCAUACAGAAGGCAAUGAGACAAUGAAAGCCCCCCGAGAGCUUUAAUCGGUCCAACUGAUUCCAGGUUGGUCACAUGACAAAUGUACAGGUUUUGCAGUUACACCAGAGAGCCCUCUUUAGUCUUUAAUCAAUAUGGACAGCAAAAAAAGAGAAGAAGGGAAAAGGUCAAAUUAAUAAAGAGAAAAGUGUUAGUGGAAGAUGUAAAUAAAUGCGGCAAAUUCACACACCUGUCCGCAACAUCGGCAAGCCUUGAAUGCGAGUUGUGGACUACACACGUAUAAUGUGCCCAUAAAAACAAUCUAAUGUUUAAUCAUUUUCCAAGGAUAAUGUUGACAUAACAUGAAAUAAAGUCACCAAAUUUGAAUACUGUCCUUAGUUAUUUAGCUAGCAAUAUCUAUACAAUCUCUAUCCCCAGAAUUCAGGCACAGGGUCAUCCCAUGGGGUUUUCCCAGACCACCACACACACACACAUAUACUGUACAAAUUCUAAUAUACCUUCUAUGUUAAGUUAUAUCGUUAGAUUUUUCUCUCAUCACAUUAAGAGCUAUGGUGAGAUAUGAUAAAAAAGUUUGGACCAAGUGUUCCUUCUUUAACCAUGCGUUAUUUGCAACAAGCUUUCUGGACUAGUCUUAAAAGUGACUAGUAAAAAGUCAGCAAUGCUCUUAAAUUGACUUUUUUAUUUUGUGUGUUAGCAUGCUUAAAGCCAUCACGGCAAUGAACCCAGAGUGUUCCUCCAUUCAGAUUCAGCCAUUGAUCUGGUUCCAUAAUGAAAAUGGUCUGUGGGACCAUAUCGACUUUCUGUCUCGCUGUCAAUUCACGUUACAUUUUAUUCCUUCUGCAAUGUGGGCUUCUAAGAGUCCUCUGGAUUCACAGGUCUAAUAGAAUCAAUGUAGAACAGUGGUUACAAGUAAGGCAGAAAGCUGGAAUCCGGAUAUUGAGUCUGGUUUAUUAUAGGAUUAUCUAUAUUGACGGUGUAAUUUAGAUCCAGACUAGGAUGAAUCUGUUUCCGUGCCUUAACCUUGUAUCAGUGAGGACACCAGGCUUGAACAGUACCUCUUACUGAUCUCAUUUCAAGUAAGCAUUGAUGUUAAAGGUAAUGUCAAACGUUUAUGUGCGAGGAUAAAAGGGGAAUGCUUUUUCCAUUGUAGAUGUUGUAGUGUUCCUGCUGAUUAUUUUAAGAUUGAUUGUCUGAAAUCGGGUGAGUGUCAUCACUACAGUUAAGUACAAUUUACACAGACCAGGCAUAACAUUAUGACCACCUGCCUAAUAUUGUGUUGGUCCCGCUUUUCCUGCCAAAACAGCCCUGACCCGUCAUGCACUGUGUAUUCUGACAUCUUUCUAUCAGAACCAGCAUUAACUUCUUCAGCAGUUUGAGCAACAGUAGCUCGUCUGUUGGAUCGGAUCACACGGGCCAGCCUUCACUCCCCACGUGCAUCAAUGUGCCUUGGCCGCCUGUGACCCUGUCGCCGGUUCACCACUGUUCCUUCCUUGGACCACUUUUGAUAGAUACUGACCACUGCAGACCGGGAACACCCCACAAGAGCUGCAGUUUUGGAGAUGCUCUGAUCCAGUCGUCUAGCCAUCACAAUUUGGCCCUUCGUCAAACUCGCUCAAAUCCUUACGCUUGUCCAUUUUUCCUGCUUCUAACACAUCAACUAUGAGGACAAAAUGUUCACUUGCUGCCUGAUAUAUCCCACCCACUAACAGGUGCCAUGAUGAGGAGAUCAUCAGUGCUAUUCACUUCACCUGUCACUGCUCAUAAUGUUAUCCUUGAUCGGUGUAUAUUUGAUGUCAAAUGCAAUAAGAUAUGAAAUAUAAAAGCUGGUGCCCGAAAGCCAGAAUGGUGCAUAAAUGAGACACGCCUCUAUUUUUACUCAGACUCUACCCUGCAUCUGAACAUCGAUGUGUGCACUUUCCCUACAAUAUCCUCACCGAGUAUGCUCAACGAUGUGAGUAUUUUAUAUUAUUUUUCCUCUAA